UGUGUGUGUGUGUGUGUGUGUGUGUGUGUGUGUGUGUGUGUGUGUGUGUGUGUGUGUGUGUGUACUACGUGUGCAUGUCAGUGUGUGAAUUUGUGCAGAGUGGGGGGUGGAUGCAUGUGGGAAUGUGGUUUCUUGUUUAUCUAUGUAGCUGUGCAGAAGGCGCGAGAGGGAGAGAAGGAGGGCGUGAGGGAGGGAGAGAGGGAGAAAAAGAGAGAGAGAUUUGUGAGCCACUUGUAUUUGCAAACUCCUGGCUGAGGUCCCACUGGCGGCAGGAAGAUCGGACUGAAAGAGCGCAUGGUAGGAUUGUGCUCCAGUGUGUGUUUGUGCAUGUGUCUGGUUGAGACAUACAGACAGAGAGGGAACGCAUUAAAUCCAUUUCAUCCAUACUGGCCAGUUUAUAUUUUAGCCCCGAAUAUGGAAGUGUUGUCCAUUUCCACUACCCAGCCAACAUCGAUUGCUGUUGCCCAACUUUUGGCCCCAUUGCCGGCAGAAGGAGACUGAAGACAGAGGUGCUCAUAACUCUGGAGAAGGUGGGGACGAAGAUAAAACGAUGAUGAGCGAGUUUAUCACCAUAUCUGAGAAGCUAUUUUAAGGAAACCAGAGCCUAUGCAUCAUCAUCUUCCUCAUUCCCUCUGGUUUGCUCUCAACGUCAUUUAAACCUCAACACCAGCAUGGGUGGUAACCAACUUUGGCACAUGGCUUGCCCUCUCAGGCCAAGACAAACACACAAGCAGAAAGAUAAACAGCACUUAAGUUUGAAGGCUUCCCUAGUCAACCGAUUGAUGAAAGCUGAACCUAUGUAUAUCACAGAAAGAACCGAUACUGUGGCAAAUUUACAAACACCACAUAGUUUAGAUUUGGAACUGCAGACAUUUUUAAAACAAGUGGUCUGUGUGGCAACCGGCAAGCUACUGUGGGAUUUUCCACUUGUCUGAGACAAACUGAAGCUACAGUAAGAAAAUUGGAACCAAUGGAAAUAAAUUCAGUAGCGCUUUUCAAUUUUUCUCAAAGAUUGUGCGUACGAAUUAAGAAUGUCUUGAUACCGAUCAUUUAAUUACAAAAUGAAUCCAAAUCACGUCAUUUUCAGCUGAUCAGAAUCGGGGGGAGGAUUAUUUUAAGGGUCACAAAGCAACAAAAUAAUAUCGACGUACAGAAAUAUUGCCAAAAGAAAAAAUACUUAGAUGUAUAGGUUUUAUUCGACGCAACAGUGCAACACGGCUGGAAACAAGGAGUAAACACUGCUAGUGGGGGAACAUUCUCGUAGUAGUUGUGGGAAGCUAACGUGAAGCUAGUGUCAUGUAACAUUGAUAAUGUCUAGAGUAUGUAAAUAUUUUACCAUUAUAUCACAUAUAUAUGUAUAUGUAUAUAAAUAUAUACACACUAUAUACGAGAUUUGCAGUGUGUGCAAAUUGAGCAUGGGGAAUGGCAGAAAGAGCUGUGUUUACUCAACUAAUGUCUAUACUUGGUUUAAGCCACUGCUCCACUAGCUGUAAAAAACGUUUCAUGUUGGGAUAGUUUUGUUGAUUAAAAAUGGACAAUCUCAAUGCACCCUUUUUUUUUUGCUUAAUACACUGCCGAGGGAUCGGAUCAGAAUUCAGUAUCAUCAGACCCUCAAAAUCAAGGGACUCAGACUCGGAUUGUCACUCAGGUGCAAAAUAAUGUGAUUGUGUGUGUUAAACUUAUGAGGCCAGUUAAACAUCUGCCAUCGAUCCAACAGCAAUGGUGAGGCCCAAAAUCUGUCUCGGUGUCCACAGUGAACAUUCAACGCUGUCGGUGAGUUUGAACUCAGCCAAAACCAUCGACCGUUGACUGUACCCUGAGGGGCACCACAGCACAUGUUCCAUGAUCUUGAAGUAUACUGGGAGCCUUUCACCUCUUCUGGAUUUCUAAUGGUUGCCUCCUGAAGAAGAAUUUAUUUUUGAGGGGCCAGACAUUUUGGCUGCACCUGUAAAUGCUGCAAUAAACAUUCAUUGCUGUCGGUGGGUUUAUAUGAGAAUAACUCAUUGAUCAAUGAAUGCAAACUGCGGUAAAAUGACUCAGAGAGCCAGAUCCCAUCACUGAGGAGGUGACACUGAACAGAAGCAUUGAUAAUAUGCUACGAUAGUAAAAAUAUGGCUAAAAGAAAAGAGAAUAUAGUGGUGCCUUACCUCCUAGAAAAUGGGACACAAUAGAAUAUGUGUAUUUGCCUUGAUGAUCACAAGCUUCAUUUUGCAUUUUGCAUUUGAUGACAUGAAAAUAUAUUUGUUUUAGUAUUAGAUUCAAACGAUAUCUUUAUAACAAAGCCUAUAGAGAAUAGCUAAAUGGCUAUAACUACAGUAUCCUUGAUGUUUCAUUUAAACUAAGUCUUUGAAAAGUGAGUCUUGCUGAUGUCAUUACAAUUAUAUGAUAUUUGUGGGUCUUGGGUCUAGAACAGGACCUCGGACCAGGACAAUCAAGACCUAGACAUGUUAUAUUGGUUUCCAUUCAUCAAAGCUGGAUUACUAAUUGAACCUCAGAAUUACUCGGGUUAGUAUUGGUUUCUGCUAUGCAACACAAGAUCGAAAUCAUCAACUGCAACAGAUCUGUAUAGGUGUAAGUUUUGCAUUAGCGCAGAAAAUAUCACUAGUCCAUUACCGAAAAAUAUUUAUACAAAAUUUGAUACACAAACAUCAAGAUGUCAUGCCUGGUAUAGAUAUACUGUUGAUGCAGAACUUGCAACUUCAAUACAGAAUUUUAACUCCUGCAUUUACUAGCUACUGCAUCUAUACAUUCAUUAAACACAAUGUGCGCUCAAAUGAAAUAAUAAUAGUCAAAAUAAUAAUAACACAGAAAAUACACAAAUACUAUGUGUUUGUAUGUGUGUAAUGUCUUAUGAUAAGAACCUAUAAAAAGUUAAUGUGUGUACGUAAUUGCAUGUGGAUAAUCUUUGACUAAUUGCCUCAUGAAGUAUAGAUAAACACUAUGAAAAAAGCCGUCAUAGCAAAACCUACAUAGUAUAUUCUUUUUUUUCUGUUGAUUAAUUCAAUAAUCGGAACAACAUUGAUUUAAAAAAAAGCCACUUAGUGUCACUUCGUGUAUUUCAUUUCAAUAAUCUUUUCUUUCUUUCUCGUUUAAUGGCAUAUAGAAAGAACUCUUAGAUUAAAAAUACAUUGUAAUAAUUAAAUACAGAAUUGAUGUUAAAUUUACCUGAAAGGUAUAUUUAAUAUCAUAUAGACAGUGUACAGUGAGUGAAUGCAUAUUAACCAUUCAAUAGAUAAUACAAUUUCUAAAAUUUGAACAAACAGAAUGGUUGAGGGGAUUGCUUAGAGCGUGUGUGUUUUGUAUUAUAUUAGCGUAACAAUCUGGGCAAAUAAUCAAUUUGACUGUGAAAUUGCACGUCAUACAUCUGUAAAGUUGUAACAAGAGAAAAUGUUUGUUACUUUGCUAAAUAAAUCACAUUAAAGUCUG